AGCUAAAUCACUUCAGGUGUGUCCGACUCUGCGACCCUAUGGACUGUAGCCUGCCAGGCUCCUCUGUCCAUUGGAUUCUCCAGGCAAGAAUACUGGCAUGGGUUACCAUACCCUCCUGCAGAUGAUGAAAUUCACCUGAGACCACAUAGCCAGGGAAGGCCAAAAAGAAAGAAAGUGAAGUCACUCAGUCAUGUCCAACUCUGGGAGCCCGUGGACUGUCUCUUCUGUUCAUGAGAUUCUCCAGGCAAGAGUACUGGAGUGGAUUGCCGUUUACUUCUCCAGAGGAUCUUCCCAAUCCAGGGAUCAAACCCUGGUCUCCCACAUUGCAGGCAGAUGCUUUACCCUCUGACCCACCAGGGAAGUCCGGAGAAGGCCAAACUGAAUUUUGAAUCUAGUCAGUCUUGACCCCAGAGCCCUCCAGCCUGAAGGUAAUUUUUAGAGUUCAAUUGCAAUGGUGGAAUUAUGAGUCAAAAAGCAGACUAAAGAAAUGAAAGUAUUAGCAGUGAGAUAGCACUUUAGAGAAUUAUCUCAUUAACUAUCUGAGAUGGUAACAUGUUAAGAAGAAUAUCAGAGAAUUUAGUUGGCAGAAGACUUAAUUUUUCCUUGAAUCUUUCUGAAUAUUUUUAUCUCAACCACACCAUUUCCCAAACAUCUACAAACAAGCAGCAUAGAUCUAUUACAGCACAAGAAAUGAGUUUCAACAAUAAUCACAACAUUAGCAGGAGAGUCAACACAUUCUUAAGAAACUUUCAGUUCAUGGACAGAUAAGGUCCAGUGUGCCAAAGACACUGAUGUAAUGUUGGAAAAUGGUAUAAAAUAAUAUAAGCAUAAUUUCAAUAUCAAAUAAAUAAUGAAACAUGUCAGUUAAUGGCAGAACUACAUCC
ensembl:lncRNA